CCUUGAUUAAAAUAAAACUUAUCAAAUGCCAUUUCAUUUGCUUUGAUGUGAAAGUGGCGCUGGUUUGAAAACACCCAACAUUCUUUUAAGCACACCACAUUUUAGCCCUUGAUACCUUUGUGAUCAGACAGAACUUUAUCACAUCCCUCCUUCACAGGGAGCAGCUGAAAUUCCUCCACGUCAUUCCUGCCCAAUUCAACAUCCAAAAACAAGGGAGGGGGAGACACUGAGUGUUGUGGGGUGACUCAGUCCCAAAAUCCCAAAGGAGGAGCGAAGGGAUGCCCUGCAGCCUGCAGACUCAGCACCUGAGCAGCCAAACAAAUGCUCAAAGCCUCCCUUAGGGGUGCUCUGAUUUUCUGCCUUGUACUGAGACACUCUGGAUUUUUAGUUAGAAAAUCUCCAGUCAGAAAAUCUAGAUCUGGAGGAUCUAGACCAGGCUGCAGCCCAAUGCACUGAACCCACUCCUUGAUGUAUUUCUGACAUUAAUAUUUGCUUUGCAGGAAAGAAUUCACUUGUGACCUCAGCACUCACAGCAGGGCCCCACUGAUCCUCAAACACAGCCAGGUCUCUCAGCUCCACUGACCAAAGAACAAGGUGCACCCUCUUUGUCUGGAAGCACAGCCCGUUGAAUGUGGGAUUUCAGCUUUGUUCCAGGGCUGUGUUUGCAGCUGCCCCAUUUGGAAGGGAGGCAGGAGAAAGGCUUUGGUUGCCAAGGGCAAACGUGCAGCUCUUGGCUCCUACACUGGGAAAAUUCACAGAAUUCUCAGGGCUGGAAGAGACCUCCAAGAUCAUCGAGUCCAACCCAGCCCUGACACC